AUCCAAAUCUACUUUAACAAACAUGUCAUCAAGUAUCCCAUUAUUCAUCACUGUAUUCCAACAAAUCAUAGUCAAAUCCCAAACUCAACCAAUUAAGAAGAAAUUCAUCAAAACGAGAGAGAAACUCAUCAUUCUUAUGGCCCCCCAUUUUCUUUGAGUGAAACGAUAUACCUCAAUGCUCGGGUUGACUCAGAUUUGAUCUCAGCUGAUGCUAGUCCUUCAUCAAACUGGUGAAAUGAAAAGCUUUUUUAUGUUAUUAACUCAUUACUGUAGUGAAGCAAAUUGAUGAACAUUAUAAAAUAAGCACAGGAAGGCCAAGUCCUCGUAUAUAAAACUCAAAGAAAAAAAGAUGUCUAAUUGUCUUUAUCAGUUCCAAUUUAUCAGAUUUGCAGGUGCCACAAAAUAUCAAUGGAGUUAAUAUCAUAAUUACUGCAGUUCUAAAGAGAAUCUCAUAUCUACUAAAGAUUCCUUUUCACCACCAAAAUUCAAGAAAAGUUCAGCGUAAAAUUGGGGAUCAUAUCAGAAAAGGAAAAAAAGGAUUUUUAAUUGCAGAAUGCAUAGCGAAAGUUAGAAAUCAAGAGAAGAGAGAAAAUUUACCUUCCAACAUUUCCCCUUGACGUUGAAAAUCAAGUCAUCAAAAGAGCAGGUUUUCAUCCCAUAGUACAACGGUCAUUCAAGAUAAAUAAAGACAAGCAAACACCCACAGAGACAUGAAAAUGAUUGCAGCAGCGGACGUUAUAAAAGUUGAAAAUAUCACUGCCCGAUAAUUGCUAGAGUUUAAUAAGA
rnacentral:lncRNA from 1 species